rnacentral:lncRNA from 1 species
GGGUCAUUGAGUUUUCCUCCAUCCCUACAGGAAUCUCUGCAAGCAGUCCUCUUCAGACAUCCAUUGUCCGACCUGCUGGCCUUGCAGACUUUGGACCUUCAAGCGCCUCUUCUCCCUUAAGUUCCCCUCUGAACAAAGGAAAUAAUAUUCCUGGGACUCCUAAAAGCCUCCACAUGACCAGCAGCCUAGCCUCAGACCCCUUGAUCCGGAAACAGGGCAAAGGCACCAAUCCCUCUGGAGGACGGUAACCAUGGUAAUUAUCUCUGCCCUCUAGCUUCCUUCAACCAAACCAGGGACUGCAGUCCUGGGCCAUAGGUGGUCUUUGGAUGGCUUGCCCAGUGUGGCAUCUUGCAUCCUAUUUGGAGAGUGGAAAGGACCAGUUGUAGCA